ACAUUAAAAACUAGCUCCUAAUUUUGAUAACCUUUUUUGAAACAAAUUUCACCGCGAAUGCUAAAUGCAAAUUAUGGGGUCAUAGAUAUGUCUUCAUGCAAAUUAGGUCAGGUCUCAGGAGAUUUCUCCGUAUGCCACUCUUGCCCUAGUUUGUAGCUUUUCAAUUUUCUGAUUUAAAAGACAUUAGAAAACAAAGGUUGGCCUAUCGGCCUAUCCAACACUAUCCGCUUUAUAUAUCCGUUCCAUGUGCGCAUGCGAUUAUCUUUGUUUCCUCGCGUUGACUCCGUUCUUCAGUUAUACCUUUCCCUUCCUCUUCAACUUCAUCACAUUCACACCCCACUUCACUCUUUCAUUUGUCCUCUGAUUUGAAGAUCUGAGAGUCCCUGCACACUUAAGUUUGAUUUUGUUAUAUUCACUUGCUUCGUUCUAAGCGGAGGAACUGGAAGAUCAAGCAACCAACUGUCCUUUAUGGAUCCAUAAGUCAUAACGUCUAUAUUCAAACAUGGAGUUUCCCAUUUCAAUUGUUGUGGAUCAAUUCACUACAGGAUCUAGAGAAUCAAACAAGUUGUUGUGAAUAAGGUAGGCACGAAAUCAUCAAAAUUGGCAUGUUCCCCAAAAAAGACAUGGAUUAUGAGCCCUUUGAAACGUGGAUUUCAUUUGAUAAAAUCAUGGAGAAAUGUAUUUGGUUGUAUGGAAUAGGUGGUGUGGGGAAGAAGACACUCGUCAAAAAAGUUUAUCAGGAAGCUACAAAAGAUGGGAAAAUUCUUGGCGAUGUGGUUUUAGUACUAGAUGUGAAACAAAAUCCAGACCUGGAAAGAAUUCAGAAAGAAAUUUGUGAAACAAACGGGCUGGAUGCUGAGGACAGUGAGAGCACAGUCAGUUUGAAAAGGUGUUCGUCUAUGUGACAAGAUGAAAGACAAGAAGGCUCUUGUAAUAUUGGACGAUGUCUGGGAUAACACUGAUUUUGAGGCUAUCGUACGUCUUGUUAACAUCUAGAAGUCGAAGAGUACUUUCACCUCAAAUGCAUCUUCAAAAGGGUUUGUGCUAGUUUAUUUGAGAAGAUGGCAGGUGAUAUUGUUAAAGAUCUCAGACUAUGAUUUUGUAGCAACCCACAUAGCCUUGAUGUGGAGUUUUACUAGUUAUAGAUGUCACAGUUGCAAGAGCUUUAAAAAAUAGAAGUGCUCUCUAUGUGCAUGGUGGAAACUGGAAAGCUGCCUUGAGACGCCUAAAAAAGAGCAUAGUUGGCUCUAGAGUGGAGUUACAAUCAAUUCAAUGACAUAGAGCUUAAACCAUUGUUUAACAGUCAAAGAAGUUGAUAGGCAAGCUAUGAAAGAUAAAACCUUGUCUCUGUGACAGGAUAAAAGACAAGAACAUUCUGGUAAUUUUAAAUGAUGUUUGGGAUAAAAUUGAUUUUGGUGUUGUGGAACUUCCUAGUUAUUGUGAUGUGCUGCUAAUAUGCUGAUGCAUUUAGCUAGUGUAUAGACCAUGUGAGUUGCAAAUGUUCUGAAAUGUGUGGGACUGUCAGGAGUCCCUACUUUAGCUCAAUAAGUGCAAAACAUGCAAUUUUGUUACUUGGGGGUCCAUACUGUUUAAGUUAAGCUGUAACCUUUGAUUAUCAAUCUUUUACACCCUUAACUUGAGUUUUAACUUGCAAUGAAGCUUUGAUAUUUUGAGUAUGCCUUGUCUUGAUAUAUAUUGUUGCGACUUUUGAGACUAUAUUUACAAAUUCCAGUGAAGUUGAAUCUUUUAACUGUUUAAGAAAAUGAAACAAGAAGAUUAGCCUAGAAGUUUGGAACUAUAUAUGUGAGUUACUUGGUAAUGGCUAAUCAUUGUAGACAUGAGCUAAUCUGAUGUAGUUAGGGGAGUUGUCUUUAAGGCUUUAAAAUGAAGUUUAGGGUCAUUAUCUGUGGGGUGAAGGGUAAUGUGGCUUAACCUUAUACAUACUCUAGAAUUACAACAAGACUUCUCAUGAAUCACUUAAGAGAUAUCGUUUGAAAUACUUGAGAACUAAAAUGGGCUAAAGGACCUGAAGGAUUGAGCAUUGAGGACUGAGUUGCAAAAGUUGAUUGACUAUGACAAUUUGUUGAAAUUGUUAUAUGUUAUUGUUGUUCUCACUGUGCUUGCUUCAAAAAUGAUUUCAUAUGACAAUUCUGUACCUGCUGGAAAAUGCAAAUAUAUGAGAGAUUACAUAAACUUUGAGAUAUUACAAGUUUUGUCUACUGAACUAGCCAAAGGGUCCUUGAUAUUUCAUCAAUUAUGUAUCUCUUAAUGGCUUUGAUAUUCUUUCUGUCUAAUUCUGCUAUGUAAUUUGUUAUGAUUGAACCAUUAGUUCUUCCUGAUGUCAUGGUACCAUAAUCACUGUUGUUGAUUUGGCUGAAAUAUGAGCACAAUCUAUAUUCUAUACAUGACAUAAAUACAACUUUAAUGAACAUGAUGAACAUAAACAUCACAAGCUCAAGAAGAAGAUUAGCAUCAAUCAGCAUCUGACUGUCUGGUCUCCUGCAUUACUCUCCCUUUUGUAAGUGUGAAGUCUGACUCAAGGACCACCAAUUGUUGUUUAAUGUGUAACUAGCUUAACGAAUGUUAAAGGGCUAGCUUGGGUUCCAUCAUUAUCUUUGGCAUUUACUGCUAGUACUUAAACGUUUGAGCAACCAAAUUCUAAUGCUUUUCUUCUUCAAAGUUUACAAUGAUUCUAUUUUAGGGAUAUUCUGGUUACUGUACUUGUGAGAAAUUAUCUGAUAUAAUAUCAUCCGCCAAUUGAGCAGCUUAAAAAGGGUUUUAGGGAUAUUGUAGAGGAUAUCAGAGUUGGUAUUAAGUGUUAACUAAUGACAAUGAUUCAUAAUAUGUAUGCUAAGCGCAGUACCAUUUGGUUGGAGCUAGCAAAAGUUUUGUGGUUAGCUAACAUUCGAUAUGAUUGUAUCAUCUUCUGUCAGCAUAUCUCGGUGUGCAUGACAUUUCUUUUGCUAUGAACAUUUAGAUGCCAUAUCAUCCUUCUUAUGAGUCAUGUCUGUUAAUAAUUAAUAUGGAAGACCGGGAGCUGGGAAUAAGUUAUGUUACAUAAAAUUCCUAGAUAAAAGAACUUCUGGUCUUGCAUCAAUUAGUGGAAAAACUUUGGUUGUUUGACAUUAAUCGAAUGGCUUCAUUAAUAAAAGCAAUAAACUAGAGUAAUCUCUUAUUGCCCAUAAGAGGCCUUGAUUGAUUUGCUUAGGCUCAUAUACCAGAAUAUUCGAAGUCAGAAUCAGCCAUACAGCUUUACUUAUCCAAAGAAGUAUGGACAAAAACCCAAAGAAGUUUCUGAGUGACAGCCGUAAAUUGGACGGCUUAAAGGACUUGGCAUUUGGACUGCAUUAUAUGGUUUUAUUACUUCAAACAGUAAUCAAAAAGUACUAAACAACCAUUUUUCAGUGUCAUUUUUCAAGUCAAAUAACACCAAAGUUAAACUCAGGUCCUCUGUUUCAACCUAUCUUCCCGCAAAGACUUAUAUGACAAUCCAUAGCAGAAGUUCUACCAGCUAGAAAUCAUACUCUUCCCCACUGUGUUUACAUUGUGAGAUGAUGAGUGCUCCAGUGAGGCGCAUAGAUGAGAUUCUUGCUUUACCUUAUUCGGCGGAUGAUUUUAAGAGCGUAGAUGUUCCACCUUCUGAUGAUGAUUCUUGGCUUUACAAUGGAGAGGAUGAAUUGAACUCUGAACUUCUACAGAGACAAAAGGAGAUGAAACUUUAUGAUUUAAAACAUAAGAAGCAGAAGAAGAAGUCAAAGAGCAGGACAAUGUUGGUCCAUCCUCCAGCUCCACCAUUGAUGGGUUCAAUCCUGGUGACAUAACCAUGCAGGCCUUUGUCGAAAAGGUGUGAAGCUACAAGGGAGCUGAGGUUCAUGAGACAGGUUAGUGCAUAUCUGUCACUUACGUUUGUGUAUCAGUUCUUCAAGAGUUGUCACUUGAUUUUAUCCCAAACGCAGAAAAACCAUGGAUGUGCACAUCUGCUUUUAGUGCUGAUUGUUACAAUUCAGAUGAUUUGAACUUGUGCUCUUAGUUCUGAUGGUUUCGUUGAUUUGGAGUGCUUACAUCUUUAAGACUAAAACCUAUUUCCAUAUGGAUCCUUUGUAUGGAUUUUGAGGCCUCAGAAGCCCUGUUGCUGAAGCAAUUUCACCUUUUUGAGUGAAUCAUCUGGUUUACUUGCCUCUAGAUGAGUGAAAUGACAAAUGAGCCAGGUUGCAAGCCUGAUAUGUUCAAAUGACCAUAAGCUAUAGGACGUGAGUUAAAUACAUCACGGGUAUGCGGCCUAAAUGUGGUUCUAGUUUCUAGGCAUGAGUCAUUUAGUAUUGUUAAAAACUACAAAUGAAAAUAUACAACUAUCAAAUGCAAUUAAAUUUACUCAUCUAAUCACUGAUUAUUAGUGUUAUUACUGCACAGUAACUUACAUUUCAGUUUCAAUAGUUAACAAAGUUGUUUAUAAAUUUAUUGUUAGUAUGAGUUUUCCUUCCUUCAUUUCUUUAAAGAAAUACAACUUAAUUAUCACUAAUGUAUAUAAGAUUAGUUAUAAGAAUUUGAAACUAGGCAAAGAACAGAGAAAAAGAAAGUUUAUGUGCAGGCCUGUGCUAAACAAUGCUCAAGCAGAAAAAUCAUGUACCUCAUUUUUCAUAUUGGGUAUUCAUUAUUGAUCAUGACAUAAGUACAUGUAUGGGAAUGAUUAAGAGCCAUGCAGUGACCAGCACGACAUGAAGCAGGAGAUAUGAUUUGGGCCUGCAUAUCCUAUUUCUUGCAACAAUAUAUACAUGAGUAUAUAAAAGAAGCGCCUCAGUCCGGUGCUGUUAACAAGAGACUGGUGAGACAAUGUUCCUAGGACUAUGAAUAUUUGAGUAGAUAUAUGUGUACAUAACUGUCUAGACUCUAAUAUGUUUAUGUGUGAACUGAAGACAAUCGGAUGUGCUCAUUUUCUAUUUUCAAGUUUCUGAUCAUUUUGUUCUGACGAUAAGAGUACCAGGAGACAGAUGAGACCUCAGAAACCUGAAGAACCAAUGCCUCCAGAGCCUGAAAAAAAAAAAAAAUUGAGAAACCAGCAGAGAAAGUUGAGGAAGAACCCCAACAAAGGAAGAAGAGGUAGUUGAACCUCCUCCCUUGAUCGAAACUGAUCUGCUGGGCAUAAAUGAAAUAAAUCCAAGAGCUGCAGAGAUUAAAGAAAGCAAUGCUCUAGCUCUUGCUAUAGUUCCACAUGGGAUUAAACCACAAUCUGGAUCAAAUUUGAAUGAUAUUGGUGGGACUUCAGGUUGGGAAUGAUGCACAUAACCUCAGGGACAGAAUCAUAUCUGGAUCAAUUUUUUCCUUACAGAACCUCUUUUCUGAAUUGCACGAUGAAGAUUUAAGAACAUCAUGCUCUUUCUGCAUCUUAUGAACUUUUAUUUCUUCAUUCUUAGAUCAAAAAAUUAUAUUUAGAAUACAUGAUUAUCCUUUUUCAUGUUUGAUGAGGCUCAUCUUUGUAUUCCAUGUUCAACGGGUAAUCUGAGCGUUAAUAUCCGAUAUGAUCAGAGUUGGUUUACAUUUAAUGAACU